UUGCCAACAGUCUACCAACAUCGUCUAGUUUUAAAAUUAUGUUGGACCAAUGUUGGUCGAACAGCAGUAUGCCAACGAUGGCUUCAGUCUGUCAAUCAUGUUUUCACGCAUUUCAUGUUAUGUAUUAAGAUAUAUUUAUCUCUAGUAUAUAAUGUAUAUUAUAUUGGCAGGUCAAUCUCGGCUGUCAUGUGGAGAGUGUGAUAUUACACUCGUGUCAAAUGAGCAGCUGAGUUCAGUUGAUUAUUUUAACAACUUGCAGAAACUAUAUUCAAAUUUUAUUUGUUUUUUUGGGCUGGUUUUAAGUAUUUUUUGUUUGUGCAUAAAAUUAUUCAAUCAUUAAGAUAAAUACAUUUAAAUGAC
rnacentral:lncRNA from 1 species